rnacentral:lncRNA from 1 species
UUUCAGUAAAAUAAUUCAAUAAAUGGCACCGACGCGUAAACCAAGCAAUGGCAGAUCGGUUCGGUUGAAGGAGGCGGUUGCAGGCGUUGAAGCAAAUGGCGAUGCAGAUGGAGAGGGAGUUUGGCCAAUGACUAAGAGCGGUUUUUUCAUUUUGGAUUGUAGAGGAGAAGGAGUGGAAUGGAAGGGCUACUAGGGCUUGGAGGUUUAGGGUUAGGGUUAAGUUUGGGGGACUGUCCUUUGGAGAGAGUGGAGGCAGGGAGUGGAGAAGAAGAAGAUGCUUUCGAGAAGAAAGAAGUGAUUUGGCGCUGUGGAUUGACCAGCGGUGAUCUGCCAUUGCUUGGUUUACGCGUCGGUGCCAUUUCCGUGGUUCGAGAGAAAGGCAGCAGCCAGGAGGGGAGUGACUGAGUGAGGUUUAAGUGAAAAGGUC